ensembl:snRNA U6 U6 spliceosomal RNA
GUGCUCGCUUCCACAGCACAUACUGAAACCUGGAACAAUACAGAGAAGAUUAGCAUGGCCCCUGCACAAGGAAUUUUGUCACAGUAGCAAAGUGACAAAUAUAAUA